rnacentral:rRNA from 1 species
GACGAACGCUGGCGGCGUGCUUAACACAUGCAAGUCGAACGGAAAGGCCCUGCUUUUGUGGGGUGCUCGAGUGGCGAACGGGUGAGUAACACGUGAGUAACCUGCCCUUGACUUUGGGAUAACUUCAGGAAACUGGGACUAAUACCGGAUAGGAGCUCCUGCUGCAUGGUGGGGGUUGGAAAGUUUCGGCGGUUGGGGAUGGACUCGCGGCUUAUCAGCUUGUUGGUGGGGUAGUGGCUGACCAAGGCUUUGACGGGUAGCCGGCCUGAGAGGGUGACCGGCCACAUUGGGACUGAGAUACGGCCCAGACUCCUACGGGAGGCAGCAGUGGGGAAUAUUGCACAAUGGGCGGAAGCCUGAUGCAGCAACGCCGCGUGCGGGAUGACGGCCUUCGGGUUGUAAACCGCUUUCGCCUGUGACGAAGCGUGAGUGACGGUAAUGGGUAAAGAAGCACCGGCUAACUACGUG